rnacentral:rRNA from 1 species
UACGUAGGGUGCGAGCGUUAAUCGGAAUUACUGGGCGUAAAGCGUGCGCAGGCGGUUGUGUAAGUCAGAUGUGAAAUCCCCGGGCUCAACCUGGGAACUGCAUUUGAGACUGCACGGCUAGAGUGUGGCAGAGGGGGGUAGAAUUCCACGUGUAGCAGUGAAAUGCGUAGAGAUGUGGAGGAAUACCGAUGGCGAAGGCAGCCCCCUGGGUUACUACUGACGCUCAUGCACGAAAGCGUGGGGAGCAAACAGG